AUCCAUCUGACGAGCGCCAAAUAGGACGAAAAGCGCGUCCUGGAU
rfam:Schistosoma rodhaini strain Burundi genome assembly, scaffold: SROB_scaffold0001230